rnacentral:rRNA from 1 species
AGCGAACGCUGGCGGCAGGCCUAACACAUGCAAGUCGAACGAACCUUUCGGGGUUAGUGGCGGACGGGUGAGUAACCCGUGGGAACGUGCCUUUAGGUUCGGAAUAACUCAGGGAAACUUGUGCUAAUACCGAAUGUGCCCUUCGGGGGAAAGAUUUAUCGCAUUUAGAGCGGCCCGCGUCAGAUUAGCUAGUUGGUUGAGGUAAUGGCUCACCAAGGCGACGAUCAGUAGCUGGUCUGAGAGGAUGAUCAGCCACACUGGGACUGAGACACGGCCCAAACUCCUACGGGAGGCAGCAGUGGGGAAUCUUGCGCAAUGGGCGAAAGCCUGACGCAGCCAUGCCGCGUGAAUGAUGAAGGUCUGAGGAUUGUAAAAUUCUUUCAACUGGGACGAUAAUGACGGUACCCGGAGAAGAAGCCCCGGCUAACUUCGUG